AGUACUGGAAGUCCUGACCACAGCAGUUUCAACAAAAUAAAAGAGGACACAAACAAAUGGAAAAACAUUCCAUGCUCAUGGAUAGAAAGAAUCAAUAUCGUGAAAAUGGCCAUACUGCCCAAGGUAAUUAAUAGAUUCAAUACCAUCCCCAUCAAGCUACCAAUGACUUUCUUCACAGAAUUGGAAAAAAAUUACUUUAAAGUCCAUAUGGAACCAAAAAAGAGCCUAUGCACUGAUAGCCAACUCAUUUUCAACAAAAGCACCAAGAACAUACAUUGGGGAAAGGACAGUCUCUUUAAUAAUUGGUGCUAGAAAAACUGGACAUCCAUAUGCAGAAGAAUGAAACAAGCUUCCCAUCUAUUACCAUAUAGAAAAAAAAACUCAAAAUGGAUUCGAGACUUAAAUUUAAGACCUAAAACUGUAAAACUACAAAAAAAAAAAGUUGGGAAAAUGCUAUAGGACAUUGGCCUGAAUAUUUUUUUGCCUAAGGCCACAAAAGAACAGACAACCAAAGCCAAAAUAAACAAGUGGGAUUAUAUCAAGCUAAAAAGCUUCUGCACAACAAAGGAAACAGUCUGCAAAGUGAAGAGACAACCUACAGAAUAACAGAAAAUAUUUGCAAACUAUUCAUCUGACAUGGUAUUAAUAACCAGAAUAUAUAAGGAAUAUAACUCAAUAGCAAAAACACAAGUACUCAAUUUUUAAAUACACAAAAGAUCUGAAGAGACAUUUAUCAAAAGAAGACAUGCAAAUGACCAACAGAUAGACGAAAAAAUGCUCAACUUCACUAAAAAUAGAGAAAUGCAAAUCAAAACCACAAUGAGAUAUCAUUUCACCUUAGUUAGAAUGACUACUGUCAAAAAGACAAAAAAUUUAAAAUACUGGCAAAUACACCAAGAAAGGGGAACACCUGUACACUAUUGGUGGAAAUGUAAAGUAGUACAGCCAUUAUGGAAAACUGUACAGUGUUUCUUUAAAAAAA
rnacentral:lncRNA from 1 species